GCUUAACACCCCUUUGAUGUGCAGCUGUAGCCAGUAUAAGAAACCCUAUGGAGCAGACCGAGGACACAUCUCAGCUCAUGCUCUCUUACAGCCAGUCAGGGUCGACAUGAAGCUACUUCUUCCCCCUGCCUUGUGCAGCAGAGGACACACUGGACUUGAAGGCAUGGCUGGAGACAGACUUGUGACACUUACAUAGGCACAGACAGAGCAGAGGAGCAUAGAUCUUCAGG